ACCAGGCGUAUAUUGGCAGUAACCACAGAUCAGCCCAUCCUCCCUCUCUCCUUGUUCGUCUCCCAUUUCAGAAUUGUAUCUUUAGAUAGGUUAAUCUGCAGAAAAAAAAUAGCGUAAAUCAAGAGUCCCAAUCUUCUAACGGACAAUUACUGGCAUGUAUGUAAAAAGUUUAGAAAGUAUUAUGCAAAACAGAAGAAAGCGGACAUUCACCAAACAAAAUUUGGUUUAGCAAUAGAAGAAGUGCAAAAACAAAGAAAAUUAUACAAAUAACUAACUAAAUUAGAGAGCUCGCAGCAGAUUCAAAUAAAGAUGGAUAAACUAUUCGCAGAGCCCAACAGGAGAAUUCACUGAGAGAAAUCGAGAAGGGGGAUAAUAAAGAGAUAUAUACAAGGGAAUAGACGAUAGAGCAGAGACGCAGAUGAAAACAAUGAGAAGGCUCUGCAGGUCAUGGCGCUUACUCAACAAUUUUUAGGCUAC
rnacentral:lncRNA from 1 species